rnacentral:rRNA from 1 species
ACCUGACUGCUAUCGGAUUGAUACUAAGCCAUGCGAGUCAUUGUAGCAAUACAAGGCAUACGGCUCAGUAACGCGUAGUCAACCUAACCUAUGGACGGGAAUAACCUCGGGAAACUGAGAAUAAUGCCCGAUAGAACAUUAUGCCUGGAAUGGUUUAUGUUCCAAAUGAUUUAUCGCCAUAGGAUGGGACUGCGGCCUAUCAGUUUGUUGGUGAGGUAAUGGCCCACCAAGACUAUUACAGGUACGGGCUCUGAGAGGAGUAGCCCGGAGAUGGGUACUGAGACACGGACCCAGGCCCUAUGGGGCGCAGCAGGCGAGAAAACUUUGCAAUGUGCGAAAGCACGACAAGGUUAAUCCGAGUGAUUUCUGCUAAAGAGAUCUUUUGUUAGUUCUAGAAACACUAACGAAUAAGGGGUGGGCAAGUUCUGGUGUCAGCCGCCGCGGUAAAACCAGCACCUCAAGUGGUCAGGAUGAUUAUUGGGCCUAAAGCAUCCGUAGCCGGCUCUGUAAGUUUUCGGUUAAAUCUGUACGCUCAACGUACAGGCUGCCGGGAAUACUGCAGAACUAGGGAGUGGGAGAGGUAGACGGUACUCGGUAGGAAGUGGUAAAAUGCUUUGAUCUAUCGAUGACCACCUGUGGCGAAGGCGGUCUACCAGAACACGUCCGACGGUGAGGGAUGAAAGCUGGGGGAGCAAACCGGAUUAGAUACCCGGGUAGUCCCAGCUGUAAACUAUGCAAACUCAGUGAUGCAUUGGCUUGUGGCCAAUGCAGUGCUGCAGGGAAGCCGUUAAGUUUGCCGCCUGGGAAGUACGUACGCAAGUAUGAAACUUAAAGGAAUUGGCGGGGGAGCACCACAAGGGGUGAAGCCUGCGGUUC